AACCUAAAAAAUUUGGCGGUGUUUUAAAUAAUUGGAGGAACCUGUCAUUUAAAUGAUAAUCCACAACAUAUCUUACCUAAAUUUUGUUUGUAUAUCGUUGUUUUUAGGUAAUAUUUUAAAAUUAUUAUCAAAUUCGAUUUAUUCUAAAAAAUCAAACCAAGGUGCAGCAUAUUUAGGUUAUGAUGGGUUACAAUAUAAUUUAUAUAUAUAUAUGAAUACAAAAUGAAAAUAUUGUGGAAAGUGGAUUCAAAAGUAAAAUAAUAUUAAAAAGUUUAUUUGACUAAAAAUUUAAAACAUGCACACAU
rnacentral:rRNA from 1 species